rnacentral:lncRNA from 1 species
AGUAACCGCCACCGUUGCCGGGGGACUGGCCCCAGCGGCUUGGCCCCCAGGCGUCUGUGGCAGUGCGUCCCCUCUCCGCGGGAUCGUCGCCAUGGUCCUGCGAUCCUAGGAGUCGGGCAAGGCCGAACCUGCCUGAAGAAACCUCAAGCGGAGAUUCAAGGAAGCACCACGUGAUCCCUAAGGAUCCCAAAGAUGCGUCGGGCAUGCAUGGGCGGUGUGAGGGUGCGUCUCCCUGACAGGUGUCCCCGCUGGGAUUUCGAGAUUUCAUUCUGGAUUAAAGGAUGUGUGCAGAAAAAAGGUCAGAUGGGGGUGAAGAUACAAUCCGCUGAGGUGUGGAGGAGGUCUCGCACCUUCACCUGCAGAACAGGUGCAGACAGAUGUCAAAGAAACUGUUUCCAACGCCAUCCCCUUUUCCUCUUCACUGUACAACCUGUCCACACCAUGGCGCUGUGCUGGCGAUAGAAGACACGAGUGUUCGGAGAACCUUUGGACCGAAGACUGUCGCCUUUCUGGCCAGGUUUUCCUUGGUCUGGCUCACAGUCCUCCAGAACGUCCUUCACAGCAAAUGUUUCCCAGUUCGUCCAGGACCACCUUGGCGGGGACGUAGGUGAUGAGUGUUUCCUUCUCAACACUCACAUUUCUUAAUGACUGGGUAGCUGUGAUGCUCUUGGAACCGUGGGUGCCCGUAGCUUUCCCCAAUAAGGAAACUCUUGGUCUCCCCAUUGCAUCAGAUGGCUGC